rnacentral:rRNA from 1 species
UACAGAGGGUGCAAGCGUUAAUCGGAAUUACUGGGCGUAAAGCGCACGUAGGCGGUUUUUUAAGUCAGAUGUGAAAGCCCCGGGCUCAACCAGGGAAUUGCAUUUGAAACUGGGAAACUAGAGUGUGUGAGAGGGGGGUAGAAUUCCAAGUGUAGCGGUGAAAUGCGUAGAGAUUUGGAGGAAUACCAGUGGCGAAGGCGGCCCCCUGGCACAACACUGACGCUCAGGUGCGAAAGCGUGGGGAGCAAACAGG